GUCGCGCGCUCUCUCAUCUCUCUGGGUAACUUCCUCUUAUCUCUUCGUUUCUUUAUCUCCUCUUUUGAUUUAUUUGAAACUCAUAUAUUCUUAUCUCCUCAUCUCCACUAAGCUUAGAAAUCUCUUCAAUCUACACAAAGGGCUGGUUCAAUUUUUGGAAUGAUAUAAGGGUAUUGGUUUAGUUUUUUGUUUUCUGGCUUUUCAGAUCGAGGAGAGCUUUUGCAAAGGAUUGGGUUUCACUUUAAAGCUAAUGGGUUAUGAAUUUUCACCUCUAUUGAUUCUGGUGUUCAUGGGUGAAGAUUCUCAAUUGAUCAAUAAAAGGUGUAUAUAGUGCUAAAAUCGGAUCAAGUAUGCUCUCAAUAAAAUACAGCAGCCCUUUUGUAUGUUAAAUUUAACUUGAUUUGUUUUUGUCAUUGUCAUUAUCGUUGUUAUUGAGUUUAGUUGCAGUAAAUUUGCUAAUGCAUGCAUUGUGGCACCUUGAAUUUCUUUCUAGAUUCAUAUGAAGUUCUGACUUUUAUUUUUUCUUAGAAUAAGUUUUUCUUACUCUUUAUUUUGUGUGUUGUUCCGGGAGAAUUAUUAUUCUACCUUUGUAUGUGUCUUACCUUUAUUAGGUUUCUUGUUAGAGAUAGUUUCACAUCUCUGUAAUAGAUUAGGACUCCGGAUCCUACGAGAUUGUAAUUAUGUGAUGCCUAUAUAUAGGCCUCAUUAUCAAUCAAUAAAGUGUUAUGUUAUGUUC